rnacentral:rRNA from 1 species
UCAGGAUGAACGCUAGCGACAGGCUAACACAUGCAAGUCGAGGGGCAGCAUAAAAGUAGCAAUACUUGGUGGCGAUCGGCGCACGGGUGAGUAACGCGUAUGCAACCUACCUAUCAGAGGGGAAUAACCCGGCGAAAGUCGGACUAAUACCGCAUAAAACAGGGACACCGCAUGGUGAUAUUUGUUAAAGAAAUUCGCUGAUAGAUGGGCAUGCGUUCCAUUAGGUAGUUGGUGAGGUAACGGCUCACCAAGCCGACGAUGGAUAGGGGAACUGAGAGGUUGGUCCCCCACACUGGUACUGAGACACGGACCAGACUCCUACGGGAGGCAGCAGUGAGGAAUAUUGGUCAAUGGGCGAGAGCCUGAACCAGCCAAGUCGCGUGAAGGAAGAAGGAUCUAUGGUUCGUAAACUUCUUUGCAGGGGAAUAAAGUGCAGGACGUGUCCUGUUUUGUAUGUACCCUGAGAAUAAGGAUCGGCUAACUCCGUGCCAGCCGCCGC